rnacentral:pre_miRNA from 7 species
UUCUGUAUAAGCUGGUGAAAGACCCCCGAAGGGAGACCCUCACUCAAGCCUCGGGACAGCCGCGGACCCAAGAAGACACUGAGACCG